rnacentral:lncRNA from 1 species
UGAUGACAAGAUUGUUUCAAAGCAUCCAACUUAUCGAGGGGUGAGAAUGCGACAAUGGGGAAAAUGGGUCUCCGAGAUAAGAGAGCCAAAGAAGAAAUCAAGAAUCUGGCUCGGUACCUUCUCCACGGCGGAGAUGGCGGCGCGUGCUCACGACGUAGCGGCUUUAGCCAUCAAAGGCGGCUCUGCUCACCUCAACUUCCCUGAGCUAGUGUACCAACUCCCUAGACCGGCUAGUGCUGACCCUAAAGACAUCCAAGCUGCAGCCGCCGCUGCGGCAGCUGCCGUCGCCGUUGACAUGGAAGUAGAGACGUCUACGUCCUCUCCUGUAAGCUCGGAACCAUCGUCUCCGGCUACGACCACACUAGCAGACGACGCGUUUUCUGACCUCCCCGAUCUCUUGCUCGACGUGAACCACAACAUUGACGGCUUUUGGGACUCGUUUCCUUACGAAGAGCCUUUCUUCUCGGGAACUUACUAGAAAACAAAGACACUGUAUAAGCGAAAGCUGCCGUCGCCGUUGUGUACGUCUUGCGGCAGCUGCCGUUGUGUACGUCUUGUUCUUGUUCUUUUGUCAUGUGAAAACUUUUUAACGUUAAAAAGUCACCGGUUGAUCCAAGUUGUAUAAUUAAUAACGGUCUAUGAUCGAUUUUUUUUCUUUUUCUAGGGGGUUUUUUGCAAAAACAACAUGUUGUCUUCUUUUUUUUGGUCAAACCUUCAUUUUAUAAUAAUCUUAGGAUACCACAUCGUUAACAACCUCUACGACAUUACUUGAGUACUGAAACAGAGAGUCUUUGGCUAGCAUAUCGGCCACACCAUACAAUGUCAGCAAUGGCUCUCUCGGGGACAAAGGCAGACGGAGACGGAGAGAUCAAACUGUGGAGCAGAGGCUGUAGUCUUUUAGACAGGAUCUUCGCUAUUUUUUUGUAAUGGGUGUUACGCAACGCUAUGGGCCUAUAGUCUGAGGUCUUUUUCGCCGCUGUCCCUUUAGGGAUUAGCCUGAGAUGGGUUUCAUUCUGUCUUGGGUGCAUCACGCUAGAGACAAAGAAUUCCCAAAUAUCCCUAUAUACGUCGUCACCAAUUACAUCCCAAAAAGUCUGGUAGAAGCCCGCCGAGAAGCCGUCCGGUCCGAGAGCUUUGUCGGAGUUUAUAGAGAAAACCGCAGCUUUUACUUCAGCCAAGUCUGGGAUUGUGAUCAGUCUUUGGUUCAUCUCCGAAGUGACUUCCGGUGAGAUCGCUUCAGUUACUACGGCUCCAGCAUCUGUAUUACCCGAAGUAAAUAGCUGCUGAUAGAAGAGGGCAAAGGAGUUGACAAUCUGACUUUCUACAUAGAACGCUUGCCCCGCUUCAUUCUCGAUAAUGGAGAACUUAUUGCAAGCUCUCCGGCCUCUCGUAACCGCGUGGAAGUAACUUGAGUUUCUGUCCCCACCAUUCAGCCAUUGAAUGUGGCUCCUCUGCCGCCAAAAGGCUUCUUCCUCCGCAUACGUAGCUUCAAGAUUCUUCUUUAUUUCUUCUAUCAGCUGUGCAUUUUGGGUUUGAUCAGAGAGGGCUUGCUCUAGCCGCUCAUGGUUGGUAUGUAGAAGUUCUUUGGCUGAGGUUGCUUGCUGUUUUGCCCAGUCUACCAACUUUCUUCUAACUUGGUUUAGUUUUAUGAGCACCGAGUCAGUAGACGCUUUCCAAGUAGAUUCCACCAGCUCCCUUAUAUAUGGUUUUUCGCUUAGCCUUCGAUCGUACCUGAAGACCCCUUUCUUUUUCUUCAAUUUCUGGUCGAAGUGAGUGAGAAGAGGGCGGUGAUCCGAACCUUCAAAGCGCAGAUACUCACAUCUAGCUGCCGGAAACAUCUCCAUUCAAUCCAGGUUUGCCAUGGCUCGGUCUAGUCGUGAUUGGAUGAAGUGAGAGUAUCUUGUGCCUCGCCGGGAGAGAGAGUUACCAGACAACAUGUUGUCUUCCAUCUAGAUCCUCCAACAUUGAAAAACCAAUUAAACAAGUAUGCAUUUAAUUUCAUUUCAAAAAAUGUUAGUUGGUUGUUAAUGAAAGUUGUUACGACGACAUCCUAAUUAAAUUACUUUUGAUAGAUUAUGACUUUAAUCUUGAUUAACCCAAAUACGAAAACAAAGUUUGACUUGACUCUUUCGAUAUAUGCAUACACAUGAGAUAUAUAUAUAAGAGUAUCAUAUGUAUAUACCUGUAUGGAAAGCGGAUGAGAUCCUAAAGUUGGCUUUUUGCAACAUCGUGUGCACUUUGUAGCAUAUUUUAUCGUCAAUUGGGUUAUUGUUUAUAACAUCUUUUGUACCUUGUAGAAACGUGUUCUUACGCGGUUGCUUAUACGUGCUGUCUAUAUGACUAAGGUUGUAGUCAGUUUGUUCACUUAAACACAUAUCUUCUUCAAUUAUUUAUCACAAAUUUUCAAACUCACUAAACAUCUUUCGGGAUAUGCUAGACCAACGGCUUCAAAUCUGUUUGACCUGAUGAACGCGUUUUAUCAUGGGUCAAAACCAACAACUUUUGCUGCUUGAUUAAUUUGCCUUUCCGGCUUUCCAACAGAACUGUUGUAGAUAAUUGUGGAUCUCUUGUUAUUUUCAAUGUUUUAUAUUCUCUUUGUUUAUCAAAAAAUGUUAAAUAACAUUUUUUUUCUUGUUAUACAAAAAGUAUCAUUAUAGAUUUACAAUGCAAUUUUCAAUUUAAUAUUAAUUACAAAUGAAUUGAUUUUAUAAAUAAUUUUAUUCAUCUCAAAUUCUAUUGAUUGAAUAUGUAUAAUUAACAAGAAUUUAAAUGCAUUUCAAUCUUUUUUAUGUAUGAAAAAUGUCAAAAUGAUAUUUUUUACGAAACGGAUGAAAUAUUUGUUUUCUGUUGUAAAGCAGUUGUAAUCUUUUAUUGUUUUCAAUCCCUGCUGUGGUUAUUUAUUCCUUAAUAUAGCUAUAGCUAAAACACUGUAAUACCGUAAUUCUUAAGCCAUGUGAUCACAUAUUCACCAUCAAUGUAGAAUAUGACUCUUGACUGUAGAAACUCGACAAAGUCGGAUAAUAUCGUAAUCACACCCCCCAAAUAUGAAUGUAUCUAUUUCUAAAUGGAUACGGGAUACCGUUAACCAUUGUUUAUUUUUGUAACGGAUGGUUUGCAAUUAACAUGUGCUGUGAGUUCAUCAAUUUAAUUCGACUCAUAGUACGAGGCGAAAUGCAUUAUUGGAAGAAGGAAACCUCAUUCUUUUGGUUCUCAAUAAAUGUCAAACGCCGAGCUGUAAGGAGUAAUCAGUUCUUAAAUGGAAUCACCAACAAAUGAUGGCUAAAUUCAUCUUAAAUUAAUUAUCGUGAUAAGAGCAACUCCAAUUAACUUUUAUCAUGAAAAUUCUCAGUGUAUGUAUAUAUGAUAAUUAUGAUUUAAUUAAAAGUAUAAUAAAAUUUUGCAAACCCAACCAGUAAUAUGUCAAGUGAGAUAUUGUUGGUUGGGUUUCUAAAAUUUUUAGUAUACUCUUAAUCAUAUUAUUAUUAUUAAAUAUAUAUACACUAAUUUGUAACUUUUGAUACAAAGAUUUAUCUUAGAUCGUAUCAUACAAGUUUUUCAUUUUAAAUUAAUUCUCAUUUUCAGAAAAAGAGUGUUAUGAAAUAAAUAUUGUUUUAUAUCUUUUCAAUUGAUUUAUUUUUACCUCUAAUUAAAUUAACAUAACUUAUAAAAAUUAUAGAAUUUUAAUAAUCGGAUAAAAGUAUAGUCAUAUCAAAUACGAAUUAUCGGUUCCGGACAUAAGAAAAGAAAAAGCUCAUCCGAAAGGUAGAUUGCUUUUUUUAUAUAGAGUGUUUUUCUUUUCUUUUUUCUUUUUUCCACAGGUAUAGAGGGUACGCAUAAAUAUAGUUACAGACUGAAAAUCCAGAUGUCUGUAUAAAGUGCAUUGAAUACGUAUACACAUAUUUUAGAUAUAGCCUACAAAAGAAAAUCAGCUUCUUAAAUUGGAUGUAUAUAAUAACAACCACACCGACCUCUUCUCAAACAAAACUCUCACACUAAACCAAGAAAACCACAUUUCUUUCCUUCUCUACAUUAACCAUCUCCUUCAUUACAUUUAAUCCCUUCUAUAUUUUUAUAAAAAAUGAAAAAACUCAAACUCAUGGAUCACUCAUCCUGCCGGAGGGGAUAUCAGGAUCCUCCGUCAAAGGCGACGGCGAGAACACUGAAUAAUAACAAUAAUAAUCCGAAGAAGAAAAGAGUCGUCAAAGAAGAUCUUGAUGAUGACAAGAUUGUUUCAAAGCAUCCAACUUAUCGAGGGGUGAGAAUGCGACAAUGGGGAAAAUGGGUCUCCGAGAUAAGAGAGCCAAAGAAAAAAUCAAGAAUCUAGCUCGGUACCUUCUCCACGGCGGAGAUGGCGGCGCGUGCUCACGACGUAGCGGCUUUAGCCAUUAAAGGCGGCUCUGCUCACCUCAACUUCCCUGAGCUAGUGUACCAACUCCCUAGACCGGCUAGUGCUGAC